rnacentral:rRNA from 1 species
UACAGAGGUGGCAAGCGUUGUUCGGAAUUACUGGGCGUAAAGGACGCGUAGGCGGCCUUCUAAGUCAGACGUGAAAUCCCCCGGCUUAACCUGGGAACUGCGUCUGAUACUGGGAGGCUUGAGUAUGGGAGAGGGAUGUAGAAUUCCAGGUGUAGCGGUGAAAUGCGUAGAUAUCUGGAGGAAUACCGGUGGCGAAGGCGGCAUCCUGGACCAUAACUGACGCUGAGGCGCGAAAGCUAGGGGAGCAAACGGG